rnacentral:rRNA from 1 species
AUAUUGGACAAUGGGGGCAACCGUGAUCCAGCCAUGGCGCGUGUGUGAAGAAGGUNUUNNGAUUGNANAGUACUUUUGGCAGANNNNNAAAGGUAUCCCCUAAUACGAGAUACUGCUGACGGUAUCUGCAGAUUCAGCACCGGCCAACUACUUGCCAUCAGCCGCGGUAAUACGUAGGGUGCAAGCGUUAAUCGGAAUUACUGGGCGUAAAGCGUGUGUAGGCGGUUCGGAAAGAAAGAUGUGAAAUCCCAGGGCUCAACCUUGGAACUGCAUUUUUAACUGCCGAGCUAGAGUAUGUCAGAGGGGGGUAGAAUUCCACGUGUAGCAGUGAAAUGCGUAGAUAUGUGGAGGAAUACCGAUGGCGAAGGCAGCCCCCUGGGAUAAUACUGACGCUCAGACACGAAAGCGUGGGGAGCAAACAG